GAUGAACGCUAGCGGCAGGCCUAACACAUGCCAGUCGAGGGAGAAGCCCUUUCGGGGGCCGAAACCGGCGCACGGGUGCGUAACGCGUAUGCAACCUACCUUUCACAGGGGGAUAGCCCGAAGAAAUUUGGAUUAAUACCCCAUAAUAUUAUUGGAUGGCAUCAUUUGAUAAUUAAAACUGCGGUGGUGAAAGAUGGGCAUGCGUCCUAUUAGCUAGUUGGAGUGGUAACGGCACCCCAAGGCUACGAUAGGUAGGGGUCCUGAGAGGGAGAUCCCCCACACUGGUACUGAGACAGGGACCAGACUCCUACGGGAGGCAGCAGUGAGGAAUAUUGGUCAAUGGUCGGAAGACUGAACCAGCCAUGCCGCGUGCAGGAAGAAUGCCUUAUGGGUUGUAAACUGCUUUUAGAUGGGAAGAAUAAGGCGUACGUGUACGUUGAUGACGGUACCAUAUGAAUAAGCAUCGGCUAACUCCGUG
rnacentral:rRNA from 1 species